rnacentral:rRNA from 2 species
ACAAUGGGCGCAAGCUGAUGCAGCGACGCGCGUGGGGGAUGACGGCCUUCGGGUUGUAAACCCCUUUCGGCAGGGACGAAGCUUUUGUGACGGUACCUGCAUAAGAAGCACCGGCUAACUACGUGCCAGCAGCCGCGGUAA